AUUGAACGCUGGCGGCAGGCUUAACACAUGCAAGUCGAGCGGAGCGGCGGACGGGUGAGUAAUGCCUAGGAAUCUGCCCGGUAGUGGGGGAUAACGUUCGGAAACGGGCGCUAAUACUGCAUACUAUCACAUGAGCCUAGGUCGGAUUAGCUAGUGGGUGGGGUAAAGGCCUACCAAGGCGACGAUCCGUAGCUGGUCUGAGAGGAUGAUCAGUCACACUGGAACUGAGACACGGUCCAGACUCCUACGGGAGGCAGCAGUGGGGAAUAGUGGACAAUGGGCGCAAGCCUGAUGCAGCCAUGCCGCGUGUAUGAAGAAGGCCUUCGGGUUGUAAAGUACUUUCAGCGGGGAGGCGUUACCCGCAGAAGAAGCACCGGCUAACUCCGUGCCAGCCGCCGCGGUAAUAC
rnacentral:rRNA from 1 species